rnacentral:rRNA from 1 species
UUGAACGCUGGCGGCAUGCCUUACACAUGCAAGUCGAACGGCAGCGCGUCCUUCGGGAUGGCGGCGAGUGGCGAACGGGUGAGUAAAGCAUCGGAACGUGCCCGGUAGUGCGGGAUAGCUCGGCGAAAGCCGGAUUAAUACCGCAUGAGAUCUGCGGAUGAAAGCAGGGGACCCGAAAGGGCCUUGCGCUACUGGAGCGGCCGAUGUCAGAUUAGGUAGUUGGUGAGGUAAAGGCUCACCAAGCCUGCGAUCUGUAGCUGGUCUGAGAGGAUGAUCAGCCACAUCGGGACUGAGACACGGCCCGAACUCCUACGGGAGGCAGCAGUGGGGAAUUUUGGACAAUGGGCGCAAGCCUGAUCCAGCCAUGCCGCGUGCAGGAUGAAGGCCUUCGGGUUGUAAACUGCUUUUGUACGGAACGAAAAGGCUCUUUCUAAUAAAGGGAUUUGAUGACGGUACCGUAAGAAUAAGCACCGGCUAACUACGUGC